rnacentral:rRNA from 1 species
AUUGAACGCUGGCGGCAGGCCUAACACAUGCAAGUCGAGCGAGCGGCGGACGGGUGAGUAAUGUCUGGGAAACUGCCUGAUGGAGGGGGAUAACUACUGGAAACGGUAGCUAAUACCGCAUACCAUCAGAUGUGCCCAGAUGGGAUUAGCUCGGAGGUGGGGUAACGGCUCAACUAGGCGACGAUCCCUAGCUGGUCUGAGAGGAUUACCAGCCACACUGGAACUGAUACACGGUCCAGACUCCUACGAGAGGCAGCAGUGGGGAAAAUUGCACAAUGGGCGCAAGCCUUGUGCGACCAUGCCGCGUGUGUAAAGGAGGCCUUCGGGUUGUAAAGCACUUUCAGCUGGGAGGCGUUACCCGCAGAAGAAGCACCGGCUAACUCCGUGCCAGCCGCCGCGGUAAUAC